AAUGAUUCUAAGCCUUUAGAUCUAAAGAAUCGGAUGGUGUAGAUAAAUUCGAAAAAAAUAAAAAUAAAAACUGAAAACUGCGUGGACUACAGAAUUUUACCAAAUCAGAAUGCGGAGGGUUUUUUUCGGAAAUUCACCACAAAGGUAAAUCAAGUAGUUCCGAAAAUCACUCCAUCCAUCUUUCAUCUACGAAAUUCACUAUCGCCGUUUCAACCAUUCUCGAAUAGGGUUUUCGAAAAUUCACUCUUCCAUCGCUGCGAAUUAGAAGAUUUGAAGUCGCCAUUUGGAGUAUCUUCGAGAUUUGGAGAAGAGUAAACAACGAUUAGAAGACUUGAUGACGAAAUUGGGAGAGGUAUGUUCGAAACUUUUAGAAAGGGAACAAUCCACUACCAUCUUCCAAAACCAGACGAUGUGGACGGAGGCUCGUCGACCAAGUUGUGCUGAAUGUGCAUGAUUUGUCAUUUGCAGCCGUGUUUUCCUGGAAGUCAGUGGAGAUGCACUUGAAGAUGUAUGCUGUGAUUUGUUGAUUUAGUCGCAGAGCUUCUUGUUCAUUGGAUUGAAUAUUUUAUUCAUCGAUAAUUGUGUUAUGUUCAUUAAGCAAUUGUUAUUUGUUCAUUGAAAAUUUGUUAUUAUUCAUUGCAAACUAUAUUCAUGAAUUUUCAGUAAUUACAAUGUAUGAUUAGCAGUUACAUUAUUUACC
rnacentral:lncRNA from 1 species